rnacentral:tRNA from 1 species
GGAGACGUGGGUGAGUGGCUGAAACCAACGCUUUGCUAAAGCGUCAUACGGGAAACUGUAUCGAGGGUUCGAAUCCCUCCGUCUCCG